AUAAGAAAUGAAUAUACUUGAAAUGUUUCAUUUCCUCAAAAUCCGAGCCCUAGGGAUGAGGUCGGGCGGGCCGAUUUAGGGCAGUGGGCGGUGUAAACGGGACCCGCCCAACCCAGAGAUCGGGUACGGGCCCUGAGAGGGGGUAGCCCCGGAGAGGGGACACUGAGAUACUGGUCCCAGCCCUACGGGGUGCAGCAGGCGCGAAACCUCUACAAUGCACGAAAGUGUGAUAGGGGAAUCCCGAGUGCUCAAGCUUUGCUUGGGCUUUUGCAGUGUGUAAAUAGCACGGCGAAUAAGUGGUGGGCAAGACUGGUGCCAGCCGCCGCGGUAACACCAGCGCCACGAGUGGCAAUCGCGUUUAUUGGGCCUAAAGCGUCCGUAGCAGGUUUUGUAAAUUUCUUGUGAAACUGCCAGGCUUAACUUGGCAAUGUGCAGGAAACACUGCAAGACUUGAGACCGGGAAGGGUCAGAGGUAUUCCUGAGGGAGCGGUAAAAUGCUAUAAUCUCAGGAGGACCACCGGUGGCGAAGGCGUCUGACUAGAACGGAUCUGACUGUGAGGGACGAAAGCUAGGGGAGCAAACCGGAUUAGAUACCCGAGUAGUCCUAGCUGUAAACGCUGUGAGCUAGGUGUCGCGUAUUCUACGGGAAUGCGCGGUGUCGUAAGGAAGCUACUAAGCUCA
rnacentral:rRNA from 1 species